rnacentral:rRNA from 1 species
CCAAAUACAUGCAAGUCGAACGCGCAGCGAGAGGUGCUUGCACCUUUCAAGCGAGUGGCGAACGGGUGAGUAACACGUGGAUAACCUGCCUCAAGGCUGGGGAUAACAUUUGGAAACAGAUGCUAAUACCGAAUAAAACUUAGUAUCGCAUGAUAUCAAGUUAAAAGGCGCUACGGCGUCACCUAGAGAUGGAUCCGCGGUGCAUUAGUUAGUUGGUGGGGUAAAGGCUUACCAAGACGAUGAUGCAUAGCCGAGUUGAGAGACUGAUCGGCCACAUUGGGACUGAGACACGGCCCAAACUCCUACGGGAGGCUGCAGUAGGGAAUCUUCCACAAUGGGCGCAAGCCUGAUGGAGCAACGCCGCGUGUGUGAUGAAGGCUUUCGGGUCGUAAAGCACUGUUGUAUGGGAAGAAAUGCUAAAAUAGGGAAUGAUUUUAGUUUGACGGUACCAUACCAGAAAGGGACGGCUAAAUACGUGCCAGCAGCCGCGGUAAUACGUAUGUCCCGAGCGUUAUCCGGAUUUAUUGGGCGUAAAGCGAGCGCAGACGGUUGAUUAAGUCUGAUGUGAAAGCCCGGAGCUCAACUCCGGAAUGGCAUUGGAAACUGGUUAACUUGAGUGUUGUAGAGGUAAGUGGAACUCCAUGUGUAGCGGUGGAAUGCGUAGAUAUAUGGAAGAACACCAGUGGCGAAGGCGGCUUACUGGACAACAACUGACGUUGAGGCUCGAAAGUGUGGGUAGCAAACAGGAUUAGAUACCCUGGUAGUCCACACCGUAAACGAUGAAUACUAGGUGUUAGGAGGUUUCCGCCUCUUAGUGCCGAAGCUAACGCAUUAAGUAUUCCGCCUGGGGAGUACGACCGCAAGGUUGAAACUCAAAGGAAUUGACGGGGACCCGCACAAGCGGUGGAGCAUGUGGUUUAAUUCGAAGCAACGCGAAGAACCUUACCAGGUCUUGACAUCCUUUGAAGCUUUUAGAGAUAGAAGUGUUCUCUUCGGAGACAAAGUGACAGGUGGUGCAUGGUC